rnacentral:rRNA from 1 species
GACGAACGCUGGCGGCGUGCUUAACACAUGCAAGUCGAACGAAAAGGCCCUGCUUUUGUUCGUUGCUCGAGUGCCGCACAGGUGAGUAUAACGUGAGUAACCUGCCCUUGUCUUUCGGAUAACUUCACGAAACUGCGGCUAAUACCGGAUAGGAGCUCCUGCUCCAUGGGGGUCGUUGGAAAGUGUCGGCGGUUGUGUCUGGACUCGCGGGUUCUCAGCUUGUUUGUGGGGUAGGGACUUUCCAAGGCUUUGACGGGUAGCCGGCAUGAGAGGGUGACCGGCGACAUGGGGACUGAGAGACGGAGCAGAAUCCUAUGGGAGGCAGCAGGGGGGAAUAUUGCACAAUGGGCGGACGCCUGAGGCAGAAACGCCGCGUGCGGGAUGCCGGCCUUUGGGUUGUAAACCGCUUUCGCAUGUGACGAAGCGGGAGUGACGGUAAUGGGUAAAGAAGCACCGGCUAACUACGUG